UGGCUCCGUCAGUGGAGCAUGAGAUUCUUGAUCUCAGGGUUGUGAGUUCAAUCCUCAC
rnacentral:tRNA from 1 species